rnacentral:lncRNA from 1 species
CCCGACAGCCUCCACAAACUGACAGCCGAGCAACUCCUCCGACCUGCCACCCAUCGCUGGAUGUUCCUCCACUUUACCCACCGUAUCAAACAUGUGUAAAGAGAGGUGAAAGGAUUUGAAUUUUUGGUAGCAGAACAGAGAAGCUGACUGCAUGCAAAGUGUUGUCAAAAUGUUUUGACACAACUGACAAGGUAAACAGGCUAGUUCCAUUUUUAUUCUCGAUUCCUUAAGCUGUUGCAAACUCCUGUGCGGCUU